AUGAGGAGCCGCCUCUUCCACUCUUCCUCGCUCCUCGUGCUGUGCUUCCUCUCCCGAAGCUCGGCGGUUAUGGCAGCUGCUCCUCGUCUCCUCGUCCGAGCGGUGAACCUCGGCGGGUGGCUGGUGACGGAGCCCUGGAUCCUGCCGUCCCUCUUCGACGGCAUCCCCAACAACGAUCUCUUGGACGGCACGCAGCUGCAGUUCAAGUCGGUAACGCAGAACGCCUACGUGGCCGCGGAGAAUGGCGGCGGCGCGGGGCUGGUGGCGAACCGGCCCCAGGCGUCCGGCUGGGAGACCUUCAAGCUGUGGCGGAUCAACAAGGUGACAUUCAAUUCCAAAGUGUUCGGCAACCAGUUCGUGGGCGUCCAGAGCGACGGCUCGCUGGUUGCGACGCUGGCGUCGCCGGGGCGGUCGGGGACGUUCCGAUUGGUCCGCAGCCCCGGUGACAAGUACAGGAUGCGGAUCAUGGCACCCAACGGGCUCUUCUUGCAGGCAAACAAAUAUGCCUCGCUGACGGCGGACUAUGGCCAGAGCACCAGCUGGGGCGACGACGACUCGUCGGUGUUCGCGGUGACCAGAGUGACGGGCCUCCAAGGGGAGUACCAGAUCUGCAUCACUGUGCCCUACUGUUUUAAUUCAGAGCUAUAUAUAAACCAUUGGAGCACAUAUAUAGUGGAAGCUGACUUCAGGUUCAUCUCCGAAAGCGGGCUGACUGCAGUGAGAAUACCAGUGGGAUGGUGGAUCGCUAACGACCCCAGACCUCCAGCACCUUACGUUGGAGAUUUCUUCGCAUCCAGGUACGCCAAAAGCCCAAGCCUCCUCGCAGUUGAGCUAAUGAACGAGCCGUUGGCGCCCGGCGUAUCCCUGGAGAGCCUAAAAACGUACUACCGCGACGAGUACAACGCCGUCAGGAAGCACUCAUCGGAUGCCUACGUGAUCAUGUCCAACCGACUGUCAUCCCCGGACCCAACAGAGCUCCUCGGGCUCGCUGGCGGGUUACCCGGAUCCGUCAUCGAUGUGCAUUACUACGCGUUGUUCAACAACAUGUUUGAUACUUUCACCGUGCAACAAAAUAUUGAUUUCAUCAAGACCAACUACUCAAGCGACCUUAGCAUUGUCACGAGGGAAAGUGGUCCCCUCACCUUUGUAGGAGAAUGGGUGGCUGAGUGGAAGGUGCCUAAUGCAGUGAAGCAAGAGUUCCAAAUGUUUGCAAAUGCACAGAUGGAUGUGUAUGAGAGGGCAACGUUUGGAUGGGCAUAUUGGACUCUCAAGAAUGUGAACAACCACUGGAGUAUGGAGUGGAUGAUCAACAAUGGAUACAUCUCCUUAAAAAGCUAG
rnacentral:rRNA from 1 species